UACGGGGGGGGCAAGCGUUGUUCGGAAUUACUGGGCGUAAAGGGCUCGUAGGCGGCCAACUAAGUCAGACGUGAAAUCCCUCGGCUUAACCGGGGAACUGCAUCUGAUACUGGAUGGCUUGAGAUUGGGAGAGGGAUGCGGAAUUCCAGGUGUAGCGGUGAAAUGCGUAGAUAUCGGGAGGAACACCUGCGGCGAAGGCGGGUUGCUGGGCUGACACUGACGCUGAGGCGCGAAAGCUAGGGGAGCGAACGGG
rnacentral:rRNA from 1 species